rnacentral:rRNA from 1 species
CGAUAGCGGAGGGGCCACACCCGUUCCCAUCUCGAACACGGUAGUUAAGCCCUCCAGCGCCGAUGGUACUUGGGCCCUGUGCCCCGGGAGAGUAGGACGUUGCCGGGA